AUAAAUUUUAGAAUGCCUAAUUGUUAAAAUUAAAAGUUGAUAAAUCAUAUUUUAGAUAUUAUAGAAGAUUUUAAAUAUAAAGUUCAUGGCUCAUCAGAUUAUAAGUAUUGCAUUGAAAUUUGAUAUAGAAAUCAAAAUAAAAAAGUAUAGAACUUUUCUGAACUAUAAACCAUUUUGAAUCAAAUAUCCAAUCUUUCAAAAUUUUGUUUUUACUAUCCAACUUAAUAUGUUAGAUUUGAGACAGUCAAUGUCACUUUGACUUCAAAAUUUAAAUGUGCCGUUUAGCUUUACGAAUCAAAUUAGUAUAUUUUAUGCAAUUCUCGCAACGAAAUUUAUUAAUAUAAGUAUUUAGCCUAAAAUCCAUCAUUCUCUCUUUUAUUCACAAUCUACAUCUAAGUGAUCAAUAUUAUAAAAUCAAAAUUUAUAUUAAAUACAUGCAAUCUAAACUAUUUAAAAGUUAUCUGUAAAAAAUUAUAUAUUCUAAAUUUUUAUAAUAA
rnacentral:lncRNA from 1 species